GGAGUGGGUUGUACCAGAAGUGGAUAGCUUAACCGCAAGGGGGGCGUUCACCACGGUAUGAUUCAUGACUGGGGUGAAGUCGUAACAAGGUAACCGUAGGGGAACCUGCGGUUGGAUCACCUCCUUACCUUAAAUGAAGUUGCAAGUGUNCACACAG
rnacentral:misc_RNA from 1 species